GAGAAUACCGCCGGCAGCAGACGCGCGCACUGCCGCGCCUCUCCGCUCUUUCGGCCGCAGGGUAGUCCCCGGAAGGGGGCAUCUCCAAGAGAAGCGGCUAGACCCAGCGACCCAGCCGUUCGCUUUGGUCGCCACCUGUGAGGCGAGCAUCCGAGCGCAACGGGAGUCCGGGAGCUGUAUCGAGAAGAGCUGGAACCAACGACAGCAAAUGCUGACGGAGAGGGAAGCCGGACGAACGGCGUGUAGGGGAUUAAUACCCAAGGGACGGGGUUGAAACGAGGAGGCAGAAACGCAGCGGACCCUCGGUAUCCCCAGCAGCUGCCAGGGUAGCGGCAGGUGUUCCGCCACGGGCGA